rnacentral:lncRNA from 1 species
GCGGGGCGAGUGGGGGGCCUAGGCGGUGUCUCUCCCCGCCCCCCUCUGUCCCUGGUCCCGAGCCCCGGGACACAGUCCCAGCCCGGCGGGCAGCCCCAGCCCCUGCCGAUGCCGUCCCGGGGACGCAGACGCCAGAGCCCCUCCGGCCAGGGCAGGGACCUGGGCCGGCCCAGCCAGGCCUGGCCAUUACCCGGUUCUGAGCCCAGUGACCUCUUACUGAGCCUCUGGGAAGAAGUUAGGACGGCCUUGGUGAAGCGCUGCCUCUGGGCUUCCAGGGUGCCUGACAACUGACCAACCAGCUGGGGAUCACUGUCGUGCAUUCAGGCUCUGGAGCUAAAGACCCUUGGAUUCGUGGUCCCUGCU